GGCCCGUUCGUCUAUCGGCUAGGACGCCAGGUUUUCAUCCUUUUUCAUCCUGGUAAGAGGGGUUCGAUUCCCCUACGGGCUA
rnacentral:tRNA from 1 species